UACAGAGGGGGCAAGCGUUAUUCGGAAUUAUUGGGCGUAAAGGGCGCGUAGGCGGCCUGGCAAGUGACGGGUGAAAUCCCUCGGCUUAACCGAGGAACUGCCUGUCAGACUGCUUGGCUUGAGACCGGGAGAGGUGAGUGGAAUUCCCAGUGUAGCGGUGAAGUGCGUAGAUAUUGGGAGGAACACCAGUGGCGAAGGCGGCUCACUGGACCGGUACUGACGCUGAGGCGCGAAAGCGUGGGGAGCAAACAGG
rnacentral:rRNA from 1 species